GUUUAACGUAAAAGUAUGUUGAUCGUAGAUUAAGGUAAAUAUAACGGAAAAGCUGGAGAAGUGGACUCCGGCGAAUAACGACGAAUACCAGGAGGACUAAAGAAGAAGGAAAAAAGCGUUUAAUCGCUGAUAAUGAGGAAAUGGUGAAAAGACGAAUUGCAUCAAUAAAAUAAGGGCAUACGAAAUCUGAAUGUGUGAACGAUUAAGAAUGGAACAUAAUAGCAAUAUUGAUUUAGUGUAAGAGUUUGCGGAGAUAUGGGUUAGUUUCGUGAAAAUUGUAAAAUAUGUAAAAAGAUUGUAGGUUAGAUGUGUGAAAGUUGAAAGAAGUAAAAAGGGAAUGAAAAGGGAGUAUAAAAUGAUAAUAGUUACUACGUAAGAUAAUAUAAUUUUGUGGAUGGUAGAAGAAUGGAUUUUUUUGGGUUUUAGGAGAUUAAAGAAUAAAUAAAGGUACAUUUAGAAAAUA